CCCGCAACGAGCGCAACCCUUAUCCUUUGUUGCCAGCGGUCCGGCCGGGAACGUCAAAGGAGACUGCCAGUGAUAAACUGGAGGAAGGUGGGGAUGACGUCAAGUCAUCAUGGCCCUUACGACCAGGGCUACACACGUGCUACAAUGGCGCAUACAAAGAGAAGCGACCCCGCGAGAGCAAGCGGACCUCAUAAAGUGCGUCGUAGUCCGGAUUGGAGUCUGCAACUCGACUCCAUGAAGUCGGAAUCGCUAGUAAUCGUGGAUCAGAAUGCCACGGUCGAAUACGUUCCCGGGCCUU
rnacentral:rRNA from 1 species